ACGCUCGACACCUAUGGGAGGCAGCAGUGGGGAAUAUUGCACAAUGGAGGAAACUCUGAUGCAGCGAUGCCGCGUGAGGGAAGAAGGUUUUCGGAUUGUAAACCUCUGUCUUUGGGGACGAUAAUGACGGUACCCAAGGAGGAAGCUCCGGCUAACUACGUGCCUGCAGCCGCGGUAAUCUGAGCGGGCUGGCAAGGC
rnacentral:rRNA from 1 species